rnacentral:rRNA from 1 species
UACGUAGGGGGCAAGCGUUGUCCGGAAUUAUUGGGCGUAAAGAGCGUGUAGGCGGUCCGGUAAGUCCGCUGUGAAAGUCCAGGGCUCAACCCUGGAAUGCCGGUGGAUACUGCCGGGCUAGAGUCCGGAAGAGGCGAGUGGAAUUCCUGGUGUAGCGGUGGAAUGCGCAGAUAUCAGGAGGAACACCAAUGGCGAAGGCAGAUCUCUGGGCCGUAACUGACGCUGAGGAGCGAAAGCUAGGGGAGCAAACGGG